rnacentral:rRNA from 1 species
GACGAACGCUGGCGGCGUGCUUAACACAUGCAAGUCGAACGGAAAGGCCCUGCUUUUGUGGGGUGCUCGAGUGGCGAACGGGUGAGUAACACGUGAGUAACCUGCCCUUGACUUUGGGAUAACUUCAGGAAACUGGGGCUAAUACCGGAUAGGAGCUCCUGCUGCAUGGUGGGGGUUGGAGAGUUUCGGCGGUUGGGGAUGGAUUCGCGGCUUAUCCGCUGGUUGGUGGGGUAGUGGCUUACCAAGGCUUUGACGGCUAGCCGGCCUGAGAGGGUGACCGGCCACAUUGGGACUGAGAGACGGCGCAGACGCCUACGGGAGGCAGUAGUGGGGAAUAUUGCACAAUGGGCGGAAGCCUGAGGCAGCAACGCCGCGUGCGGGAUGACGGCCUUCGGGUUGUAAACCGCUUUCGCCUGUGACGAGGCGUGAGUGACGGUAAUGGGUAAAGAAGCACCGGCUAACUACGUG